UAUAAAAGAACAGCUGUCUGGUAAGAAUUAUACAAAUACUUCACAGCAAUAUAAAAUAUUCUUUCCUUAUGUGGCCUAGCUACAUAUUCCCCCCCCCCCAGCCAGCGGCAUCGGAGGAGAGCGUCCAUAAUAGCGCUUCAGGUUUACCACAUUCAAUAUAUCGACUCUAGGUGGGUUGCCCCAGCACACAGUGUAAUUUAUUGGCCCUGUUUUACUUUUAAUUUCAGCUGGACCCUCCCACUUGGGCGCUAGCUUGGCAGAGAAUUUGUUUGCUGAAUUAGAGAGAGGAUGGGUUUUAAUCCAAACCAGGUCACCCGUAUGAAACUGCGCAUUUUUUCUACGGUAAUUAUAAUACCUAGCUUGUUUGGCUUGGCUCAUCCUCAUUCUAUUCCUCACUUCUUCCAUCAUGAUGUUUUGUCGUUCUACCAGGGAAUAUGCAGCUUGAUCAGGUGAAGGCGGUCGGUGGAUAAGACGUUCCAGUGGUCCUAGAAUUUGUCUACCCAGCAUGAGCACAAUCGCUCAGAAGACUGGACGUAAAUUGGGGACCCCUAUCGGACACCAGGUAUUUGGGUACCCCCCAUCGUGUAAAGAUCUCCUCUCGUAGAAUUUUCACUACUUUCUGGGUCUUGCUGUCUCUCAGAGGGAACAUUUCCACCCACUUCGUGAAAUAAUCAACAAUGACAAGGAGAUCUCACAGCUUUUGACGUAUUGGCACACGUCCUUCCUAACGGACGGCCACCAUGCCACGUCUAAGAUUUUCAGCAGAGACUUUAACUGUCCGAGAUGACCUCCAAGCGGAUUAUCAUGGUAGUAGUGCAUGAAGUCAGCGGUUAAUGAUAGUGGUACUACCAACUGAUACUUCUCUCCUUUAUCCUUCAUAGGAACUUUGCGGUACCACACCCCUUGGAGGUUUUCAAAGGUGAUGGCUUGAUCCUUGACUGAUCGAGGGGGAAUGUUAGAUUGCAGGUCAGUGAUGGUAUUGUCCAAUUGUUGAGCUUUAGUAAUCUCCUCCAGAGAGUGCGGUAAUGUAGACGCAUGGUGUGAUAUGGAUAGACAAGGGGCAACAUCAGCAUCAGGCGUACCCUGGACCCGGGAUAAAGCGUCAGGUCCCAUGUUGAGGCACCCUUUUCUGUGAUGGACCUGGAAGUUGAACUGUUGCAGGCGGAGUGUCCAGCGAGUUAGGCGUGAGGAGGUUUUAGGGCAGUUGAAUGCCCAGGCUAGGGCCGCAUGGUCAGUGAAGACGUUGAAGGCUCUUCCCUCCAAGUAAUGUCUCCACUUUUCAACAGCCCAAACCACUGCUAGACAUUCCUUUUCUGAAGUGCUGUAAUUCUUCUCUGCUCCAGUUAAGGUCCGUGAUGCAUAUGCCACCACCUUUUCUCCCUCCUCUGACUGUUGAGUGAGGAUGGCGCCCAGUCCUACCUCACUAGCAUCCGUGUGAACUUGGAAGUCUUUGGAGGUGUCGGGUUGUAUUAACACCGGUGAGUUUUGUAAAGCUAGCUUCAGUGCAUC